rnacentral:sRNA from 1 species
GGAUAGUAGUGGAAAUCCUUUUUGAGAGUUUCGAGCAAAAAGAUUGUAAUGGAUAGCACGACCU